rnacentral:lncRNA from 1 species
GCUGGGGUUCAUGUCCUCACCUCCGCCUGAUCUUUCAGCUGUGGCUGGUUGUCAGCGUUAACAGGUGCCUCUUGCGGGUUCUGCAAUGAAGGUGAUGAAAUUUCUUCUCCAAAGGAAAACUCAAAUAUUCACAAUUAGUUUUGACAUUUACUUCUUUUGAGCUUCUCAAACCAGUACUAUGAUAUCACUUGUUGAUGAUACACCUUUGAAUCACACACUCGACUCAAACUCUUGAUUGUUCUCUCUCUCUCUCUCUC